UUCCUACGGGGGGCAGCAGUGAGGAAUAUUGGUCAAUGGGCGGGAGCCUGAACCAGCCAAGUCGCGUGAGGGAAGACGGUCCUAUGGAUUGUAAACCUCUUUAGGCGGGGAGCAAUGCCGGGCACGCGUGCCCGGAGGGAGAGUACCCGCAGAAUAAGCAUCGGCUACCUCCGUGCCAGCAGCCGCGGUAAUACGGAGGAUGCGAGCGUUAUCCGGAUUUAUUGGGUUUAAAGGGUGCGUAGGCGGAUUUUUAAGUCAGCGGUAAAAUGUCCGGGCUCAACCCCGGCCGGCCGUUGAAACUGGGG
rnacentral:rRNA from 1 species